rnacentral:lncRNA from 1 species
AGUAAUCACUUUGGAACGAGACAAAAUCAAAAGGAAAGAGAAUGAAAAAACGUUGCCAUUUUUAUUUGUUUUUUUCCUUUUUUAAAUUGCAAAAUUAAAUGAAAAACAGGGAACACCGCUUUUAACUACAAAAACAUCCAUUCAUUACUGAUGCAAAAUGUUGCAUAAUGAAACACAUGAGAUGGCCCUUACAAUGGACCAUUACGUGUCGGGCAACACGUAUGGCUUUCAUGCAAACAAAAUUAAAACACAGAAAUACUACUCUUCAGAAUGAGUGACAGUGACGCUUUUGGAGGCCUUCCAGUUGCCUGGUACGCAUGACUUUAUCCACGCCUCAAGCUCGCGGUCGCUGUCAACAUCUUCA